ensembl:lncRNA
AACCACAUUAAUGUGAUAUGGGGAACGAUUGAAUGUAGACAGUUAUUCUUUUCAACACCUCUGUCCAGGACUUUCUGUGCUCCUGUGACACCGGACCCUUUAAAUCUAAAGAGGACAGUGUCUGGAAAUACAUGAGAAGGAUUUGCAGUGCUGUCACCUUUAGACAAGAGUAGUCAGUGCUACAAACAAUACUGAACUCAAAAGCUGAAAAAUGACAGAGGUCUGUCACCCCGGAGCGGAGCAUCCGGACAGCUGCAUCUGGAGCAAAGGAACUCUGUGCUGUUUGAAGGUUUCUGCAGAAAAGCAUUGGAGCAAUGAGUCGCAUCCUCCAUCCACAGGUGUUGACCAUCUGGAUUACGCUAAUCUCCAGGGCAACAGCUGACCUGACCUGCGACGCUCUGCUCCUGCUCUCCACAAAUCUUACAGCUCGCACUUUGAUUUUGUGGAAUCAGACGUCUAGUCCCACCAAUUCUACAGGUCAGUUUACAACUCAAGUCUUUAUCUGCUUGUUCUGUAACACUUCGAUUGAUGGCAUUGGGACAUGUUGGCCCAGGAGCAGUGCUGGAGAAGUGGUGUCCCGUCCCUGUCCAGAGACCUUCCUCGGAGUCCGUUACAACACAACCAAUAACGUGUACAGAGAAUGCCUUGCCAAUGGCACCUGGGCGAAGAAGGGAAACUACUCCCAAUGUCAGGAAAUCCUCAACGAGGAGAAGAAGAGCAAGCUGCAUUACCACAUUGCAGUCAUCAUAAACUACCUGGGACAUUGUAUCUCUCUGGGAGCCCUGCUGGUCGCCUUCAUCCUCUUCAUGAGACUCAGGAGUAUCCGGUGUCUGAGAAAUAUCAUCCACUGGAACCUGAUUACAGCAUUUAUCCUGCGAAAUGCCACCUGGUUCGUGGUGCAGCUCACUAUGAACCCAGAGGUGCAUGAGAGCAAUGUGAUCUGGUGCAGGCUGGUCACAGCAGCAUAUAAUUAUUUCCAUGUGACCAACUUCUUCUGGAUGUUUGGAGAGGGCUGCUAUCUGCACACAGCCAUAGUACUGACAUACUCCACCGACAAACUGAGGAAAUGGAUGUUCAUUUGUAUAGGCUGGUGUAUUCCAUUCCCCAUUAUCGUCGCUUGGGCCAUUGGCAAGCUGUACUAUGACAAUGAAAAGUGCUGGUUUGGGAAGCGGGCCGGCAUUUACACUGAUUAUAUUUAUCAGGGGCCCAUGAUCCUGGUCCUGCUGAUUAACUUCAUUUUUCUCUUCAACAUUGUGAGGAUCCUGAUGACUAAACUGAGGGCCUCCACUUUUUUUUAUUUUUAUUUUUAUCCUACUGAGAAAGCAGUAAAGGCCACACUGGUUCUUCUGCCGCUGCUGGGCAUCACUUACAUGCUGUUCUUCGUCAACCCAGGCGAGGAUGAGAUCUCACAGAUUGUCUUCAUCUACUUUAAUUCUUUCCUAGAGUCCUUUCAGGGCUUUUUUGUGUCAGUGUUCUACUGCUUUUUGAACAGUGAGGUACGCUCAGCCGUUCGUAAGCGGUGGCACCGCUGGCAGGAUAAGCACUCCAUUCGGGCACGGGUGGCACGGGCCAUGUCUAUUCCCACCUCUCCAACACGGGUCAGUUUCCACAGCAUCAAGCAGUCGUCGGCAGUCUGA